rnacentral:rRNA from 1 species
AACCUGGUUGAUCCUGCCAGUAUUAUAUGCUGAUGUUAAAGAUUAAGCCAUGCAUGUGUAAGUUUAAAGUCCAAGAAGGAUGAAACUGCGGACGGCUCAUUAAAACAGUAAUAGUUUCUUUGGUUAGUAUUUAAAAGGAUAACUUUGUGAAUGAUAAAGCUAAUACUUGAGACGAUCCGAGGAGUAUUUAUACUCAUCGGCCACUGGUUUCGGCUAGUGUGAAUGACAUCCUCAAUUGAAUACGGAUGCCACGACAAUUGUAGAGAGCGACGCCCUUCACAAGUAACCAAUGAGAAUUUCUGAUCUAUCAAUUUGUUGGUAGUAUCGAGGACUACCAAGAUUAUAACGGAUAACGAGGAAUUGGGGUUCGACAUCGGAGAGGGAGCUUUAAAGAUGGCUACCACUUCUAAGGAAGGCAGCAGGCGCGUAAAUUACCCACUUUCGACAUGAAGAGGUAGUGACGACAAAUAACUCUUGGAACCCUUAUGGGUUUCACGAUGGAAUGACUAAGAACUAAAUUCUCUUAGGAAAUCAAUUGGAGGGCAAGUCUGGUGCCAGCAGCCGCGGUAAUUCCAGCUCCAAUAGUGUAUAUUAAAGUUGCUGUGAUUAAAACGCUCGUAGUUGAAUUAAAAUGCGUUAAGUAGUUGGAAACUGUACUCUGUAUAGUGGAAGGCUUACAAUAAAAGACGCUUAGGCGAAACUUACCUCUGGUAAGUUUCAUUACUUUGAAAAAAAUAGGGUGUUUAAAGCAAAUCUUAUGUUAAUGAAUAAUGAAGCAUGGGACAAUACUAAGGAGAUCUACUUAUAGAUUUCGAGAAAAGGAUUAAGAGGAACAAUUGGGGUGAUUCAGAAAAUAACGGGAGAGGUGAAAAUCCAUGAUCGCUAUAAGAUGCACGAGAGCGAAAGCAUUUCACUCAAUUGCGUUCAUUAAUCAAGAACGAAAGUUAGGGGAUCGAAGACGAUCAGAUACCGUCGUAGUCCUAACUAUAAACGAUGUCAACCAAGGAUUGGAUUAGUCAUAGAGUGACUGAAGCAUUGUAUCAUUGAUACAUUGCUGACGGAACUCGCUUCUACCUUAUUCAGAACUUAAAGAGAAAUCUUGAGUUUAUGGACUUCAGGGGGAGUAUGGUCACAAGGCUGAAACUUAAAGGAAUUGACGGAAGGGCACACCAGGAGUGGAGCCUGCGGCUUAAUUUGACUCAACACGGGAAAACUUACCAAGACCGAACAGUAUUAGGAAUGACAGGUUAAGGGUCCUUUCAUGAUUUAUUGGGUAGUGGUGCAUGGCCGUUCUUAGUUGGUGGAGUGAUUUGUCAGGUUAAUUCCGGUAACGAACGAGACUGAAGCCUAUUAAUUAGUUUUCCAUCUAUACGGUGGAAAUGUUCGCAAGAACAGAUGCAUUCGUAUCACUUCUUAAAGGGACUAAUAUCAAUUGUUUCCAGGUUAAUUGGUGUAUUCACUUCGGUGAGACCCUUUUAAUCGGAAAAAAAGAUAAAGGAAGCAUUCAGCAAUAACAGGUCUGUGAUGCCCUUAGACAUCUUGGGCUGCACGCGCGCUACAAUGGAGAUACUAGCGAGUAUUUAACGAAGCUGCCUGUAUAUCCACUUCGGUGGCUAUAUAGGAUUAGCGACGUUGUAUCGAGACUGAAAUAGUUUAGGCAAACUCAAAAGAUCGUACAUGACAGGGAUAAAUGAUUGGAAUUAUUUGUUUUGAACGAGGAAUUCCUUGUAAUAUCGAGUCACUAGCUCGAGAUGAAUACGUCCCUGCCCUUUGUACACACCGCCCGUCGCUCCUACCGAUUGAGUAAGGAGGUGAAAUUCUAGGACUUACCGGUUUAGAACCGAGGGGAAUGGAUUUAAAUCUCUUUACUUAGAGGAAGGAGAAGUCGUAACAAGGUUUCCGUAGGUGAACCUGCAGAAGGAUC